CUGGAAUCCAGGAAGCUGGCAUGAAACUAAUUAAUAUCUUACUAUGGAAAACUUGAAACUUGGAAACUAAAAAUGAUUCGCAAUUUAUUUUCUGAAAACAAGCUUAUAUAUGGCAUACCUUAAACUUGUGAUCUUUCCAAAACCUGACUGAGAUGCAACAACUGUCAGCCAGAAAGAGAGGAA
rnacentral:lncRNA from 1 species